CCUACGGGGCGCAGCAGUGGGGAAUAUUGCACAAUGGGGGAAACCCUGAUGCAGCGACGCCGCGUGAGUGAAGAAGUAUUUCGGUAUGUAAAGCUCUAUCAGCAGGGAAGAUAAUGACGGUACCUGACUAAGAAGCCCCGGCUAACUACGUGCCAGCAGCCGCGGUAAUACGUAGGGGGCAAGCGUUAUCCGGAUUUACUGGGUGUAAAGGGAGCGUAGGUGGCAGGGCAAGUCAGAUGUGAAAACCCGGGGCUCAACUCCGGGAGUGCAUUUGAAACUGUCCAGCUAGAGUGCAGGAGAGGUAA
rnacentral:rRNA from 1 species